UAGUCCACGCCGUAAACGAUGGACACUAGGUGUUGGCCGUAUCGACCCGGUCAGUAUCGAAGCAAACGCGUUAAGUGUCCCGCCUGGGGAGUACGCACGCAAGUGUGAAACUCAAAGGAAUUGACGGGGGCCCGCACAAGCGGUGGAGUAUGUGGUUUAAUUCGAUGCAACGCGAAGAACCUUACCAGGGUUUGACAUCCUAUGAACUUUCUAGAGAUAGAUUGGUGCCUUCGGGAACAUAGAGACAGGUGGUGCAUGGCUGUCGUCAGCUCGUGUCGUGAGAUGUUGGGUUAAGUCCCGCAACGAGCGCAACCCUUGUCCCUAGUUGCCAGCACAUAAUGGUGGGAACUCUAACGAGACUGCCCGCGUAAGCGGAGAGGAAGGUGGGGACGACGUCAAAUCAUCAUGGCCUUUAUGCCUAGGGCUACACACGUGCUACAAUGGCAGGUACAGAGGGUUGCGAAGGGGUGACCUGGAGCUAAUCUCAGAAAGCCUGUCCCAGUUCGGAGUUG
rnacentral:rRNA from 1 species